UGCAGCCGCCGCGGUAAUACGGAGGGUGCGAGCGUUAAUCGGAAUUACUGGGCGUAAAGGGCGCGUAGGCGGUCGCGCAAGUCGGGUGUGAAAGCCCCGGGCUCAACCUGGGAAUUGCAUUCGAUACUGCGUAACUAGAGUCUGGUAGAGGGAAGCGGAAUUCCGCAUGUAGCGGUGAAAUGCGUAGAUAUGCGGAGGAACACCAGUGGCGAAGGCGGCUUCCUGGACCAAGACUGACGCUGAGGCGCGAAAGCGUGGGGAGCAAACAGGAUUAGAUACCCUGGUAGUCCACGCCCUAAACGAUGAGGACUAGACGUUGGGGGGAUAAAACCCUUUAGUGUCGCAGCUAACGCGUGAAGUCCUCCGCCUGGGGAGUACGGCCGCAAGGUUGAAACUUAAAUGAAUUGGCGA
rnacentral:rRNA from 1 species